CCUACGGGAGGCAGCAGUGAGGAAUAUUGGUCAAUGGACGAGAGUCUGAACCAGCCAAGUAGCGUGAAGGAUGACUGUCCUAUGGGUCGUAAACUUCUUUUAUAUGGGAAUAAAAUGUUCCACGUGUGGGCUUUUGUAUGUACCAUAUGAAUAAGGAUCGGCUAACUCCGUGCCAGCAGCCGCGGUAAUACGGAGGAUCCGAGCGUUAUCCGGAUUUAUUGGGUUUAAAGGGAGCGUAGGUGGUUUGUUAAGUCAGUUGUGAAAGUUUGCGGCUCAACCGUAAGAUUGCAGUUGAAACUGGCAGUCUUGAGUACAGUAGAGGUGGGCGGAAUUCGUGGUGUAGCGGUGAAAUGCUUAGAUAUCACGAAGAACUCCGGUUGCGAAGGCAGCUCACUGGACUGCAACUGACACUGAGGCUCGAAAGUGUGGGUAUCAAACAGGAUUAGAUACCCGGGUAGUC
rnacentral:rRNA from 1 species